rnacentral:rRNA from 1 species
GACGAACGCUGGCGGCGUGCUUAACACAUGCAAGUCGAACGAAGUGGCGAACGGGUGAGUAACGCGUAAUCACCCUGCUCAUCAGAGGGGGACAACAGUUGGAAACGACUGCUAAUACCGCAUACGGAAGGAGGGGCUUGGGUCUGAUUAGCUAGUUGGAGGGGUAACGGCCCCCCAAGGCGAAGAUCAGUAGGCGGUCUUGGAGGGUGAACGGCCACAUUGGGACUGGGGCACGGGCCAGACUCCUACGGGAGGCAGGCGUGGGGAAUUUUCCGCAAAGGACGGAAGUCUGACGGAGCCACGCCGCGUGGGUGGUGACGGGUUUCGGGUUGUUAAGCUCUGUUGAUCGGGGCGCGGUACCGAAAUAGAAAGCCACGGCUAACUACGUGCCAGCAGCCGCGGUAAUUC